rnacentral:rRNA from 1 species
UGUGAUGGGGAGCGAAAUUUAGUAGCGAAGUAGCUGAUUUCACACUGUCAAGAAAAGUCUCUAUCGAGGUUAAAGGUACCCGUACCGCAAACCGACACAGGUGGGUGAGGAGAGUAUCCUAAGGCCAGCGAGAGAACUGUUGUGAAGGAACUCGGCAAAAUGACCCCGUAACUUAGGGAUAAGGGGUGCCACCAUCAGGUGGCCGCAGAGAAUAGGCCCAAGCGACUGUUUACCAAAAACAUAGGUUUCUGCUAAGUCGCAAGACGAUGUAUAGGAGCUGACGCCUGCCCGGUGCUGGAAGGUUAAGGGGA